GUGCUUGCUUCUGCACCAUAUGUGCUAAAAUUGGAAUGACACAGAGAUUAGCAUGGCCCCUAUGCAAGGAUGACACACAAAUUUGGGAUGCAUUUCAUAUUUUG
rnacentral:snRNA from 1 species